rnacentral:rRNA from 1 species
GACGAACGCUGGCGGCAUGCCUAAUACAUGCAAGUCGAGCGAACAGAUGAAGUGCUUGCACUUCUGACGUUAGCGGCGAACGGGUGAGUAACACGUAAGGAAUCUACCUAUAAGCGGGGGAUAACAUUCGGAAACGGGUGCUAAUACCGCAUAAUAUCUUCUUCCGCAUGGAAGAAGAUUGAAAGACGGCUCUGCUGUCACUUAUAGAUGACCUUGCGGUGCAUUAGUUAGUUGGUGGGGUAACGGCCUACCAAGACGAUGAUGCAUAGCCGACCUGAGAGGGUGAUCGGCCACAUUGGGACUGAGACACGGCCCAAACUCCUACGGGAGGCAGCAGUAGGGAAUCUUCCGCAAUGGGCGAAAGCCUGACGGAGCAAUGCCGCGUGAGUGAAGAAGGCCUUCGGGUCGUAAAACUCUGUUAUAAGAGAAGAACAAAUUGUAGAGUAACUGCUACAGUCUUGACGGUAUCUGAUCAGAAAGCCACGGCUAACUACGUG